GACGAACGCUGGCGGCGUGCUUAACACAUGCAAGUCGAACGGAAAGGCCCUGCUUUUGUGGGGUGCUCGAGUGGCGAACGGGUGAGUAACACGUGAGUAACCUGCCCUUGACUUUGGGAUAACUUCAGGAAACUGGGGCUAAUACCGGAUAGGAGCUCCUGCUGCAUGGUUGGGGCUGGAAAGUUUCGGCUGUUGGGGAUGGACUCGCGGCUUAUCAGCUUGUUGGUGGGGUAGUGGCUGACCCAGGCUUUGACGGGUAGCCGGCCUGAGAGGGUGACCGGCCACAUUGGGACUGAGAUACGGCCCAGACUCCUACGGGAGGCAGCAGUGGGGAAUAUUGCACAAUGGGCGGAAGCCUGAUGCAGCAACGCCGCGUGCGGGAUGACGGCUUUCGGGUUGUAAACCGCUUUCGCCUGUGACGAAGCGUGAGUGACGGUAAUGGGUAAAGAAGCACCGGCUAACUACGUG
rnacentral:rRNA from 1 species